GUGACAUUAUAAUUCGAUAAAAAAACAUUAUUUACAAAAUGCCCUAUAGUAUAAUAAUUAAUUAUUACGCUGGAAACAAUAACUAUUAUAUUACUAAAAAUAUUAAAAAGACACAAGUGACAUUAUGUUCAAAAUCGUUACGCCUUUAUUGUUAUUAUCAACAUAACACAUUUUCAAAGUUACCUAAACUUU